rnacentral:sRNA from 1 species
AUUCUGCCCAUGCGGGGAAGGAUGAGAAGCUUCGACUAAGGUUCGGCUCUCGACGUCGAGCGUUGCCGCAGGCAAAUCUAAUCUUCGAGGGGCGAAGCGCGCAGCGCUGAGUAAUCCUUCCCCCACCACCA